UGAGGAAUAUUGGUCAAUGGGCGCAAGCCUGAACCAGCCAUGCCGCGUGCAGGAUGAAGGCCUUCGGGUUGUAAACUGCUUUUGUACGGAACGAAAAGACUCCUUCUAAUAAAGGGGGUCCAUGACGGUACCGUAAGAAUAAGCACCGGCUAACUACGUGCCAGCAGCCGCGGUAAUACGUAGGGUGCGAGCGUUAAUCGGAAUUACUGGGCGUAAAGCGUGCGCAGGCGGUUUUGUAAGACAGAGGUGAAAUCCCCGGGCUCAACCUGGGAAUUGCCUUUGUGACUGCAAGGCUUGAGUGCGGCAGAGGGGGAUGGAAUUCCGCGUGUAGCAGUGAAAUGCGUAGAUAUGCGGAGGAACACCGAUGGCGAAGGCAAUCCCCUGGGCCUGCACUAACGCUCAUGCACGAAAGCGUGGGGAGCAAACA
rnacentral:rRNA from 1 species